rnacentral:lncRNA from 1 species
UUUCACUUCAUUAUCACUCUCUUUUUGGAGGAUAAAGCCAUGAACUUCAAAACCUGUAUUUGAAGAGGGAACCAAGCUCAGAACAUUUCAUUUCUCAAUUGGCUGUACUACUUUAGGACUUCUCUGACCUUCCUUAGAUUCCUCCCUUUUCCCUUCUCCCACCCCAGCCCAUGAUGACUUCCAGAGUGUCUUUUUUACAUCAUUCCACAUCAUUUGAUAUGUUUAUAUCACACCAUUCAGAUUUUUGUUUCUGUUAAUGCUGUUAAAUGUCAUUACCUUUCAGGUAACUCCAUUUUCAAUCAGCAGACUUGUUUGAAUUCAACUCCAAGGAAAACUAUGCCCUCAGAUAAGGAAACUAAGACAAACAAGGUUAAGUGACUUGCCUAGGGUCACAGAGCUAGCAAGUAUCUGUGAUCAGAUUUGAACUCAAGAAGAUGACUUGAAGUCCAGAGCUUUAUCCAUUGUGCCACCUAGCUGCCCUGCUCAGAAUUGUAGAGUUACUUAAAAGUGACCAACUCCUUGGUCCCAGCAAUCCUUCCAAGCUACUUUGGAUGGAAAAUGACCUGGCCUCUUUGGAGACUUAACACCCAGGCCUUGUGAACAUGAGGAUGAUAAUUCACCCCAAGAAGCCUUUUUCACAUGUGAUAAGCUUGGCAAGCUGCCUUGGUCAUGACAGGCAUAACCUUGGAUGUAUAGAAGGACUAUGGCAGAGAUACAAAGGAAAACUCGUCUCCUCUCAUGAGUAG